rnacentral:rRNA from 1 species
CUGCCAGGACUGCAGUUGACCGUACCGUAAUCCGACACAGGUAGGCGAGGCGAGCAGCCUAGGUGCUCGAGUGAUUUACGGAAAAGGAACUCGGCAAAAUGACCCCGUAACUUCGGGAUAAGGGGUGCCGGCAGUAGCUGACCUAAUCAAGGGAAGGCGAGACCGGCCGCAGAGAAUCGUCCCAAGCGACUGUUUAGCAAAAACACAGGAGCGUGCUAAGGCAUUGUCCAAGCCAACGUAUACGCUCUGACUCCUGCCCGGUGCCGGAAGGUUAAGGCAAGUCGUCAGCCGCAAGGCGAAGCGAUGAACCGAAGCCCCGGUAAACGGCGGCCGUAACAAUAACGGUCCUAAGGUAGCGAAAUUCCUUGUCGGGUAAGUUCCGACCUGCACGAAUGGAGUAACGACUUGGGAGCUGUCUCUUCCGUAAGCUCGGCGAAAUAGAAGCAUCGGUGAGGAUUCCGAUUACCCGCGACAGGACAAAAAGACCCCAUGCACCUUUACUACAACCUGUCAUUGAUUGUCGGUAUGCGUUGCGUAGCAUAGGUGGGAGCCGGUGAAACCGGGGUUUCGGCCCUGGUGGAGGCACCAGUGAAAUACCACCCUUCGUUUACUAACAAUCUCACUCAGCCGGCAACACCGGCGAGGACCGUGGCAGGCGGGUAGUUUGACUGGGGCGGUCGCCUCCUAAAAAGUACCGGAGGCGCACAAUGGUUGGCUCAGUGCGGUCGGUAAUCGCACGUCGAGUGUAUACGCAGAAGCCAGCCUGACUGCGAGCGCGACAGCGCGAGCAGGGACGAAAGUCGGUGUAAGUGAUCCGGCGGGACCGUGUGGACGGCCCGUCGCUCAUCGGAUAAAAGGUACGCUGGGGAUAACAGGCUUAUCGCGCCCGAGAGUUCACAUCGACGGCGCGGUUUGGCACCUCGAUGUCGGCUUGUCACAUCCUGGGGCUGGAGAAGGUCCCAAGGGUCCGGCUGUUCGCCGGUUAAAGUGGCACAUGAGCUGGGUUCAGAACGUCGUGAGACAGUUCGGUCUGUAUCCGUCGUGGGCGUGGGAAUGUUGAGGGACUCGACCUUAGUACGAGAGGACCGGGUCGAAGCGACCGCUCGUGUACGGGCUAUCCUGCCAAGGGUAUCGCCCGGUAGCGAUGUCGCGCGCAGAUAACCGCUGAAAGCAUCUAAGUGGGAAACUGUUCCCAAGAUGAACAUUCCUGGGUCUUAAGACCCCUGAAGGGCCGUGGGAGACUACCACGUUGAUAGGCGGCAGAUGUAAGGCGUGCAAGCGCUUCAGUCGAGCCGUACUAAUCGCCCGUGCAGUUUGAUCUC